GUAGGGAAUAUUGGACAAUGGGCGAAAGCCUGAUCCAGCCAUGCCGCGUGAUAGAUGAAGGCCCUCUGGGUUGUAAAUAUCUUUUAUCUGGGAAGAAACUCCUCUAUUCUUAGAGGCCUGACGGUACCAGAGGAAUAAGCACCGGCUAACUCCGUGCCAGCAGCCGCGGUAAUACGGAGGGUGCAAGCGUUAUCCGGAUUCACUGGGUUUAAAGGGUGCGUAGGCGGGUUGAUAAGUCAGUGGUGAAAGCUCCGGGCUUAACUUGGAAACUGCCAUUGAUACUGUCAAUCUUGAAUGUCGUAGAGGUAAGCGGAAUGUUGCAUGUAGCGGUGAAAUGCUUAGAUAUGUUACAGAACACCAAUUGCGAAGGCAGCUUACUAUGCGAUAAUUGACGCUGAGGCACGAAAGCGUGGGGAGCAAACAGGAUUAGAUACCCGUGUAGUCC
rnacentral:rRNA from 1 species